CCUACGGGAGGCAGCAGUGAGGAAUAUUGGUCAAUGGACGAGAGUCUGAACCAGCCAAGUAGCGUGAAGGAUGACUGCCCUAUGGGUUGUAAACUUCUUUUAUAAAGGAAUAAAACGAGGCACGUGUGCCUUUUUGCAUGUACUUUAUGAAUAAGGAUCGGCUAACUCCGUGCCAGCAGCCGCGGUAAUACGGAGGAUCCGAGCGUUAUCCGGAUUUGUUGGGUUUAAAGGGAGCGUAGAUGGGUUGGUAAGGCAGUUGUGAAAGUUUGCGGCUCAAACGUAAAAUUGCAAUUGAUACUGGCAGUCUUGAGUACAGUUGAGGUAGGCGGAAUUCGUGGUGUAGCGGUGAAAUGCUUAGAUAUCACGAAGAACCCCGAUUGCGAAGGCAGCUUACUAAACUGUGACUGACAUUGAUGCUCGAAAGUGUGGGUAUCAAACAGGAUUAGAUACCCCAGUAGUC
rnacentral:rRNA from 1 species